UUAAGCGACUAAGCGUACACGGUGGAUGCCCUGGCAGUCAGAGGCGAUGAAGGACGUGCUAAUCUGCGAUAAGCGUCGGUAAGGUGAUAUGAACCGUUAUAACCGGCGAUUUCCGAAUGGGGAAACCCAGUGUGUUUCGACACACUAUCAUUAACUGAAUCCAUAGGUUAAUGAGGCGAACCGGGGGAACUGAAACAUCUAAGUACCCCGAGGAAAAGAAAUCAACCGAGAUUCCCCCAGUAGCGGCGAGCGAACGGGGAGCAGCCCAGAGCCUGAAUCAGUGUGUGUGUUAGUGGAAGCGUCUGGAAAGGCGCGCGAUACAGGGUGACAGCCCCGUACACAAAAAUGCACAUGCUGUGAGCUCGAUGAGUAGGGCGGGACACGUGGUAUCCUGUCUGAAUAUGGGGGGACCAUCCUCCAAGGCUAAAUACUCCUGACUGACCGAUAGUGAACCAGUACCGUGAGGGAAAGGCGAAAAGAACCCCGGCGAGGGGAGUGAAAAAGAACCUGAAACCGUGUACGUACAAGCAGUGGGAGCACGCUUAGGCGUGUGACUGCGUACCUUUUGUAUAAUGGGUCAGCGACUUAUAUUCUGUAGCAAGGUUAACCGAAUAGGGGAGCCGAAGGGAAACCGAGUCUUAACUGGGCGUUAAGUUGCAGGGUAUAGACCCGAAACCCGGUGAUCUAGCCAUGGGCAGGUUGAAGGUUGGGUAACACUAACUGGAGGACCGAACCGACUAAUGUUGAAAAAUUAGCGGAUGACUUGUGGCUGGGGGUGAAAGGCCAAUCAAACCGGGAGAUAGCUGGUUCUCCCCGAAAGCUAUUUAGGUAGCGCCUCGUGAAUUCAUCUCCGGGGGUAGAGCACUGUUUCGGCAAGGGGGUCAUCCCGACUUACCAACCCGAUGCAAACUGCGAAUACCGGAGAAUGUUAUCACGGGAGACACACGGCGGGUGCUAACGUCCGUCGUGAAGAGGGAAACAACCCAGACCGCCAGCUAAGGUCCCAAAGUCAUGGUUAAGUGGGAAACGAUGUGGGAAGGCCCAGACAGCCAGGAUGUUGGCUUAGAAGCAGCCAUCAUUUAAAGAAAGCGUAAUAGCUCACUGGUCGAGUCGGCCUGCGCGGAAGAUGUAACGGGGCUAAACCAUGCACCGAAGCUGCGGCAGCGACGCUUAUGCGUUGUUGGGUAGGGGAGCGUUCUGUAAGCCUGCGAAGGUGUGCUGUGAGGCAUGCUGGAGGUAUCAGAAGUGCGAAUGCUGACAUAAGUAACGAUAAAGCGGGUGAAAAGCCCGCUCGCCGGAAGACCAAGGGUUCCUGUCCAACGUUAAUCGGGGCAGGGUGAGUCGACCCCUAAGGCGAGGCCGAAAGGCGUAGUCGAUGGGAAACAGGUUAAUAUUCCUGUACUUGGUGUUACUGCGAAGGGGGGACGGAGAAGGCUAUGUUGGCCGGGCGACGGUUGUCCCGGUUUAAGCGUGUAGGCUGGUUUUCCAGGCAAAUCCGGAAAAUCAAGGCUGAGGCGUGAUGACGAGGCACUACGGUGCUGAAGCAACAAAUGCCCUGCUUCCAGGAAAAGCCUCUAAGCAUCAGGUAACAUCAAAUCGUACCCCAAACCGACACAGGUGGUCAGGUAGAGAAUACCAAGGCGCUUGAGAGAACUCGGGUGAAGGAACUAGGCAAAAUGGUGCCGUAACUUCGGGAGAAGGCACGCUGAUAUGUAGGUGAAGUCCCUCGCGGAUGGAGCUGAAAUCAGUCGAAGAUACCAGCUGGCUGCAACUGUUUAUUAAAAACACAGCACUGUGCAAACACGAAAGUGGACGUAUACGGUGUGACGCCUGCCCGGUGCCGGAAGGUUAAUUGAUGGGGUUAGCCGCAAGGCGAAGCUCUUGAUCGAAGCCCCGGUAAACGGCGGCCGUAACUAUAACGGUCCUAAGGUAGCGAAAUUCCUUGUCGGGUAAGUUCCGACCUGCACGAAUGGCGUAAUGAUGGCCAGGCUGUCUCCACCCGAGACUCAGUGAAAUUGAACUCGCUGUGAAGAUGCAGUGUACCCGCGGCAAGACGGAAAGACCCCGUGAACCUUUACUAUAGCUUGACACUGAACAUUGAGCCUUGAUGUGUAGGAUAGGUGGGAGGCUUGGAAGUGUGGACGCCAGUCUGCAUGGAGCCGACCUUGAAAUACCACCCUUUAAUGUUUGAUGUUCUAACGUUGACCCGUAAUCCGGGUUGCGGACAGUGUCUGGUGGGUAGUUUGACUGGGGCGGUCUCCUCCUAAAGAGUAACGGAGGAGCACGAAGGUUGGCUAAUCCUGGUCGGACAUCAGGAGGUUAGUGCAAUGGCAUAAGCCAGCUUGACUGCGAGCGUGACGGCGCGAGCAGGUGCGAAAGCAGGUCAUAGUGAUCCGGUGGUUCUGAAUGGAAGGGCCAUCGCUCAACGGAUAAAAGGUACUCCGGGGAUAACAGGCUGAUACCGCCCAAGAGUUCAUAUCGACGGCGGUGUUUGGCACCUCGAUGUCGGCUCAUCACAUCCUGGGGCUGAAGUAGGUCCCAAGGGUAUGGCUGUUCGCCAUUUAAAGUGGUACGCGAGCUGGGUUUAGAACGUCGUGAGACAGUUCGGUCCCUAUCUGCCGUGGGCGCUGGAGAACUGAGGGGGGCUGCUCCUAGUACGAGAGGACCGGAGUGGACGCAUCACUGGUGUUCGGGUUGUCAUGCCAAUGGCACUGCCCGGUAGCUAAAUGCGGAAGAGAUAAGUGCUGAAAGCAUCUAAGCACGAAACUUGCCCCGAGAUGAGUUCUCCCUGACUCCUUGAGAGUCCUGAAGGAACGUUGAAGACGACGACGUUGAUAGGCCGGGUGUGUAAGCGCAGCGAUGCGUUGAGCUAACCGGUACUAAUGAACCGUGAGGCUUAACCUU
rnacentral:rRNA from 1 species